AUGCGACCUUGUACCUAAAGCACAUGUGCUGUCUGCUGUGAAUUGUUUGAUUCACUGUGAAAGAGUCUCCCUUUUGUUCUCAGAAAUGUAUCAUCUUAAAUUUUACUCUCCCUUUUUAUCCCCCCGCAGGUGAAAAUGUUUCUAUGCUCCCCCUAUCAUCUCUGUCCCUGAGGUUAUCGCAGACUAGAAGGUGAAAAAAACACGCUCGUGAUGACAUGUUUUCCAAGCUCAUGCAGUUCUCCCGCACUGAUAGGUCACAGGUGAAUGCAUGGAGGCAUUCAGUAGCAGAGUUCAGGAAAGCAUUAAGUGAGCGUGAUGAGAAGAGGCAGGAUGCAAUGCUGAGGCUAAUGGGGGAGCAAACGGACAUGCUCAGGCAUCUGGUGAAGCUGCAGGAAAGCCAACAAGAGCACAGACCGGACCUGAGCUGGGCUCCCUUAUUGGCGUGGCUGCCUGGUCAAUCAGACUGACUUGGGGCACUGGCUACUAUCCAUUGGCCUUAGUCCGGAGGUCUCUGAUUGGCUAGAGGCCCUCUCAGUCCCAGGGUCCCAACUGCUCCUUGACCCCUCCCCUCUCUCCUGUCAUGGGGAGAGGGCAGCCAAACAACCCACCCAAUGCCAGUGAGGGCAGCCGGCCCCUUCACAACAGACACAUUUACAAGAACCAUCACUCAGUUUGAGACCUGCCAGAUCUGGAACCCAGUGACAGUGUUCACCUCAAAUUGGAUGAACAAAAAGGACGGACGGCUCCAGCUGUCAUCGAGAAAAAUAAUUCAGUGCCCAGAUCACAGUGACCGAGACUGACAGGGGGGAGUUCAACAGAAACCAUCCACAGAGCAAAUCCGACAGAAGGCAGAUGCUGAACGAGAAGAUGAUGACUCAAGGAUUCCAGAACAACCCCAGUCAGUCAUUGCAACUAGCGGCCAGCCAGAUGGGCAAGCUGCUACACAUUGACGUUUUGCAGUUAAGAGCCCAGGGUGGUUCAGAGACACUGGACAGACUGAUCCAUCCUAAACUUCACAGCCAGCAUAACAGUGUGAACAAAUGUCAGGAACAUGGAACUUAAUGGGGGAGAUGGACUGGGAUGUUAACCUGUCACGCUCUGUUCAGCCACUGGGUGGUUCUGUGUCUAACAUUCCUUAGAGAGCCGAACCUCAGCCGUACCUGGCAGGGCAGUAAAGGAUCUAAUGAUGAACAGAGCUGGGGUGGAUGAGCAUAAGAACAGCCAUACUGGGUCAGACCAAAGGUCCAACCAGCCCAGUAUCCUGUUUACCAACAGUGGCCAAUGCCAGGUGCCCCAGAGGGAAUGAACCUAACAGUUUACCAAGCAUCCAGAUCUCUAAACUUCAGGACCAGCUCCAGGCACCAGCGAAGGAAGCAGGUGCCUGGGGCGGCCAAUAGAAAGGGGGGGCACUCCGUGCAUUAUUGGGCUUCCAUGUCCAGUCUGCAGCGGGAAUUCGGCUCUUCGGCGGCACUUCAGCGGCACCUCAACUCCGCUUCAGUCUUCGGCGGCAAUUCAGUGGUUCUGUCAGUGCCUGAGUCUGAGAAGGGCCGUGUCUGUGGACAGCACAUUUCAUGGCUGACUGUGACCCCAGUGGCUGUCUCUGGUUGUGUGUUGUAUGGCACCAAGCACAGUGGCAGUGCUGAGGGGACUGGGUUGGGAGAGAUGAGACCAGGGCUCCAUUCCCAACAGCUGUUAUCACAUCCCCUCUCUGUGUUCCUAUUGCCCCUCUCUAUCCCCUCCAUUUAGCCUGAGCUCUUGGGGGCAGAGACUGCCUGUCACCCUGCCAGUGCAGAGCCCAGCACCACAGGGCCUUGAGCUCGGCAUACAGUGCUGCCGUAACAUGAAUUCUUAUGUUUGCA